rnacentral:rRNA from 1 species
AAUAGAUACCCGGGUAGUCCACGCUGUAAACGAUGAGUGCUAGGUGUUGGGUAGCGAUACUCAGUGCCGAAGUAAACACAAUAAGCACUCCGCCUGGGGGAGUACGGUCGCAAGACUGAAACUCAAAGGAAUUGACGGGGACCCGCACAAGCAGCGGAGCAUGUGGUUUAAUUCGAAGCAACGCGAAGAACCUUACCAAGGCUUGACAUCCCCCUUGACCGGCACAGAGAUGUGCCCUCUCCUUCGGGAGCAAGGGUGACAGGUGGUGCAUGGUUGUCGUCAGCUCGUGUCGUGAGAUGUUGGGUUAAGUCCCGCAACGAGCGCAACCCUUAUCCUUAGUUGCCAUCAUUAAGUUGGGCACUCUAAGGAGACUGCCGAUGAUAAAUCGGAGGAAGGUGGGGAUGACGUCAAAUCAUCAUGCCCCUUAUGUCUUGGGCUACACACGUGCUACAAUGGUCGGUACAAAGGGCAGCGAAGGAGUGAUCUGGAGCGAAUCCCAAUAAACCGAUCUCAGUUCGGAUUGU